GUGGCUGUAGCUCAACAGGUUAGAGCUCUGGACUGUGGCUCCAGCGGUUGGGGGUUCGAGUCCCCUCAGCCACC
rnacentral:tRNA from 2 species